rnacentral:rRNA from 1 species
AGCGAACGCUGGCGGCAGGCCUAACACAUGCAAGUCGAACGAAGUCUUCGGACUUAGUGGCGGACGGGGGAGUAACACGUGGGAACGUGCCUUUAGGUUCGGAAUAACUCAGGGAAACAUGUGCUAAUACCGAAUGUGCCCUUCGGGCGAAAGAUUUAUCGCCUUGAGAGCGGCCCGCGUCUGAGUAGCUAGUUGGUGAGGUAAAGGCUCACCAAGGCGACGAUCAGUAGCUGGUCUGAGAGGAUGAUCAGCCACAUUGGGACUGAGACAUGGCCCAAACUCCUACGGGAGGCAGCAGUGGGGAAUCUUGCGCAAUGGGCGAAAGCCUGACGCAGCCAUGCCGCGUGAAUGAUGAAGGUCUUAGGAUUGUAAAAUUCUUUCACCGGGGACGAUAAUGACGGUACCCGGAGAAGAAGCCCCGGCUAACUCCGUGCCAGCCGCCGCGGUAAUAC